AGUGAACGCUGGCGGUAUGCCUAACACAUGCAAGUCGAACGGCAGCACAGUAAGAGCUUGCUCUUACGGUUGGCGAGUGGCGGACGGGUGAGGAAUACAUCGGAAUCUACUUUUUCGUGGGGGAUAACGUAGGGAAACUUACGCUAAUACCGCAUACGACCUACGGGUGAAAGCAGGGGAUCUUCGGACCUUGCGCGAUUGAAUGAGCCGAUGUCGGAUUAGCUAGUUGGCGGGGUAAAGGCCCACCAAGGCGACGAUCCGUAGCUGGCCUGAGAGGAUGAUCAGCCACACUGGAACUGAGACACGGUCCAGACUCCUACGGGAGGCAGCAGUGGGGAAUAUUGGACAAUGGGCGCAAGCCUGAUCCAGCCAUACCGCGUGGGUGAAGAAGGCCUUCGGGUUGUAAAGCCCUUUUGUUGGGAAAGAAAAGCAGCAGGUUAAUACCCCGCUGUUCUGACGGUACCCAAAGAAUAAGCACCGGCUAACUUCGUG
rnacentral:rRNA from 1 species